GACGAACGCUGGCGGCGCGCCUAACACAUGCAAGUCGAACGAGGUGAAUUUUCUCACUGAGUUUUUUGCUCAGUCAGUGGGGAGCGUCAUGGAUGCGGAGCAUCCAUUAGGCUCAUAAAAGAAGACUGACACAAAGGGCAAAAGGCUGAGUGAGGAAAUUCACUUAGUGGCGAACGGGUGAGUAACGCGUGAGGAACCUGCCUCAAAGAGGGGGACAACAGUUGGAAACGACUGCUAAUACCGCAUAAGCCCACAGCUCCGCAUGGAGCAGAGGGAAAAGGAGUGAUCCGCUUUGAGAUGGCCUCGCGUCCGAUUAGCUAGUUGGUGAGGUAACGGCCCACCAAGGCGACGAUCGGUAGCCGGACUGAGAGGUUGAUCGGCCACAUUGGGACUGAGACACGGCCCAG
rnacentral:rRNA from 1 species